AACCCUUGUCCUUAGUUACCAGCACGUUAUGGUGGGCACUCUAAGGAGACUGCCGGUGACAAACCGGAGGAAGGUGGGGAUGACGUCAAGUCAUCAUGGCCCUUACGGCCUGGGCUACACACGUGCUACAAUGGUCGGUACAAAGGGUUGCCAAGCCGCGAGGUGGAGGCUAAUCCCAUAAAACCGAAUCGUAGUCCGGAUCGCAGUCUGCAACUCGACUGCGUGAAGUCGGAAUCGCUAGUAAUCGUGAAUCAGAAUGUCACGGUGAAUACGUUCCCGGGCCUU
rnacentral:rRNA from 1 species